UACGUAGGGGGCAAGCGUUGUCCGGAUUUAUUGGGCGUAAAGAGCGUGUAGGCGGCCGUACAGGUCAGCUGUGAAACUCGAGGCUCAACCUCGAGACGUCGGUUGAAACCGUACGGCUAGAGUCCGGAAGAGGGAGAGUGGAAUUCCCGGUGUAGCGGUGAAAUGCGCAGAUAUCGGGAAGAACACCCGUGGCGAAGGCGGCUCUCUGGGACGGUACUGACGCUGAGACGCGAAAGCGUGGGGAGCGAACAGG
rnacentral:rRNA from 1 species